rnacentral:rRNA from 1 species
UACGUAGGGUGCGAGCGUUGUCCGGAAUUAUUGGGCGUAAAGAGCUCGUAGGCGGUGUGUCGCGUCGGCCGUGAAAACCUGCAGCUUAACUGUGGGCUUGCGGUCGAUACGGGCAUCACUGGAGUUCGGCAGGGGAGACUGGAAUUCCUGGUGUAGCGGUGAAAUGCGCAGAUAUCAGGAGGAACACCAAUGGCGAAGGCAGCACUCUGGGACGUGACUGACGCUGAGACGCGAAAGCGUGGGGGAGCAAACAGG